UACGGGGGGGGGCAAGCGUUGUUCGGAAUUACUGGGCGUAAAGGGCUCGUAGGCGGCCAACUAAGUCAGACGUGAAAUCCCCCGGCUUAACCAGGGAACUGCGUCUGAUACUGGAUGGCUUGAGUUUGGGAGAGGGAUGCGGAAUUCCAGGUGUAGCGGUGAAAUGCGUAGAUAUCUGGAGGAACACCGGUGGCGAAGGCGGCAUCCUGGACCGGUAUUGACGCUGAGGCGCGAAAGCCAGGGGAGCAAACGGGG
rnacentral:rRNA from 1 species